GCUAGCACCAUAAAGGUGGACUGUGACUUUUCCGUAAGUUAUUAAGUGCUUCCACAUCAGCGGGGCUUUCAUACAGAAGCUCUGCGGAGUGUGUUGCAAGAAUUUAAACAGCCAGAAAGCCAAUUAGUGGCUUCUAUGCCAGUAACGUGUUGACAUUUCGCAUAACUGUAACUGACACCAGUUGCUUUUUGACGGCAUCAUUUGAAAUACGCGGGCCAAUCUUUUUUAAAAACACAAUGUAUUCUUUACAUCCCCUGCCACUAUAGAUGGAGUUUCAUGUUCUCUCCUCAAAGAGUGACUGGUGAUGAUGGGGGAAGCCUUAAAGUUUGAAAGGCAUCUUGCAUACGUUUUUUAAAAAAUGUUGUAGUGAUCGAAGAAAAAAAGAUUCAUCGUGUUGUCAGGUGCUUUGCUGCAACAUUGACUGAAACAGGGAACUAAUCAAAGGAACAGCAAACCUGCAGACGAGAUGUCCACAUCAUUGAUGCAGACAGAUAAGAUGUACUUACACCGUUGCGGCGUCUGGAUGAGGAUGACAGAAGGUGGUGGUGCUGGUGCUCCUGCUGCUGCUGCUGCUGCGGGAGAGAUGCAACGAUGCUGCACCGCAACGCACCAACUGGAUUUCUGGAGGCGCGCUUCUUCCAACCAGCAGACAGCCCAACCCCCUAAUCCCGAAUCCUCAUCUGCUCUGCUCUGCAGCAUCAGACGGUGAUUCUUUUUUUAUUUUUUGGCCCCCCGUUGGGAGCUGAAUUAAUGAUGCAUUCAUAGACUUCUAGUAAAUUUUAACUUCAGUGAGUAUCUGGUAGAGGUUUUUAAAAAACGGUUAGUACGGUGUUGGGUCGGGGGGGCUGAUGGGUUACGGUCAGAAAAUAUCCCAGCGUCCAGGACCACAAGCUAAGGGUUGAUACGAUAAUACGAUGUUCUCGUUCGCACAUGGGGUGUAAUUUGAAGUCAACGACUGUUACAACUUUACAGGUGUUCCUGAAGGCGCCACAAGCAAAAUAGAACUACUGUAUGAUACAUUUUCUACAGUUCUUACAUGGUGAUACUCAUUUGCAGUCAAACGACGUUCCAGAGGUUCCUGAAGUUCACGAGUGAAGCGUGAAAUUUACACACUUUCAGCUUAGCAUCUUUGUACAUCGGUGAUAAUCAAUAAAUCAAGUGACGUUCUAAUUUUCCAUGAGUCCUUGAAGGCAUCUUAUGCAAAGCAUCGAUACGUUUUCUCCUGGAUGACCUGCAGACAAUAAUUAUUCGAUCUUUCCAAUACUAUAGUUUCUGAAUGUCGCGUCAACAAAUGGUUAGUUGUGCAAUAGUGUGUUUUGUAAUUUGUACGAUGGUAAUAUUCUAAAAUUAAGAAAUAUUAAAACUUUCUGGGGGGCUCCAGGACAAAAGUGUUAUUAUGUUUUAUAGUUUGCACAUGAGAAAAAAUGUUCAUUCUUCGAACUUUCCAUAAAUUUAAGUGAAACCUUUACUUUUGUGACUUUGGGAGGUCACCAAACCACAAACUCGACCGAAAGUGAGUAGGUGUAGCCUUUGAAGCCAAAAUGCAGUUCAUCUUUGGUUCUCUUCUUCCACCUGGUGUUCAAAAUGUUACAAUGCAACUUUGAGACACGUCCUGCUGUAAAUUUGUUUCUAAAUAGAAUGCCACAGUUUAAAAACGUUAUUUGCGGUCAAUUAUUACUUUCAAUUUCUUUUUUUAAAUCUUGUGAUAUAAGGUGAUAAGACGCUCAUUUGUUGUCCUUGUUGGCGGCUGCCCAGGCGGCAGUGAUGGUUCGAAGCAGUGACCCCAAAAAUUACAGGGGAGAUAUUACAGAUAAUGUAUACUUUUAAUAACUAAUGACAUGUUUUUAGCCAUGUUUAAAAGUGUGCCGUUGUGCGAUCCCUUCUGCAUAUUGUGUCGCUGUCAUAAUAGUGGGGCUAAUGAACAAAAUGCCCUUCCCACACAGAUUUAUUCAUCACAGUUAAGAUUUAUUUCAUUCAACAUUUCACAUUACAAAUAUUGAAAAAUUAUGCAUACUGUUAUAUAAAUAGUUGGCCGCAAACAAUUAAAUAACAGAUUUUUCUUUUUCGUUUCACUAGCACUUCUACAGACCAACUCCUAGAAAUAUGGACAUAUCCGUAUUACAUAACUUAAUCAUUAGAAAGGAAAAUACAAAAAUAGGAACUUAUCAAGUGAAAUGACAAUAAAAAUUAAGGUGAUAUUUGAAGUAAAAAAAACAGCUAUUAAUAAAUACAACAAACCUUCCCAUACACAGUUAAAAACUAUUGAAAUCUUGCCAUUAAGUAACAUUAACAGACAAAUAUUUAAAUAUUUAUUUUCCUUCAGAAAAUGUGAACCAUAUAUUGUGGAGCACAAUAUAGCAAUUAGUAAAAACUAGACACUUUAACAUAUUAAAAGCUUCACCUCAAAAAUAUAACAAAAAUCUGAUUAAAAUUAUAAAAAUCAAUUAUACAUUCCAAUUAAAAAUAUACCAAUAAACAGCUAAAUACAUUGUUGACCUAGUAAUUACAAUGCAAUCAAUCACAGUAGCUUAAAAUAAACCAAAAAAAUAAGCAAAUGAGCACAAAAACCUUUUUUUAAUGUUUUAAAAAUAACUUCAAUUAUUUAUAUUAGUACAAAUAGUUGGAUUUCAUUUCUCUCUUUUUUUUCUUACAAACACCAGCAUGAAAAGGAUUACAUUAAACAGUAGAAAAUGACUGUGAAAAAACAUAUUAACAUCUUUAAUUAAAUGUCUGCAAUAAUUAAAAAUGGCAUUUGAAAGAAUUACAUUGCAAAGAGUCUUUCGUCUGGAAAAAGGUUCAAAAGAAGUAUUGCACAUAACAACUUGAAAGUUAACUUGCAACAUUGUUGUUGUUUUUUUAAAAUUCUUUUCUUUUUCACCACAUUCAAGUCUUUAAGCUCCCCUUCCUCCGCGUAGGUCAAGUCUUCAUGUUUUUUUUUUUUAAUCCGCAUUUUUUUCGACAGUGUUCUAGGUUGCUCGAGUCUGAAACGUCCACGCUCGCUUAUUCGCUUUUGAGUUACGCGCAUCCCCGCUGAGGUCUGCCAAUAUGUGAGAGAGGGAGGACAGAAGGGAUGGUCAGGGGAGGGGUUGAGGUCGGGGUUCGCCGUUACAUCAUCGUCCAGAAACAUUUGGUGCACACCACAACAGUUAUUUUCGAGCUAAUUCACCUCAUUUCCGCACUUUUUUUUUUGUCAUCAUGCAUGCUAAGGAUUACGAUAGGUGCUAGUUGGCAAGUUCAAGAAUAUAGAUACUAUGUAUAUAUAUCUAUUUAUAGUUGUUUUUUUCUUCAAAUAUUAAAA